AACGUAGGUGGCAAGCGUUAUCCGGAUUUACUGGGCGUAAAGGGUGUGCAGGCGGGGCUGGAAGUGGGGUAUGAAAUCUCCAGGCUUAACCUGGAGGGGUUAUGCCAGACUGCAGUUCUAGAGGGCGAGAGAGGGGGGUGGAAUUCCGGGUGUAGUGGUGAAAUGCGUAGAUAUCUGGAGGAACACCGGUGGCGAAGGCGGCAUCCUGGACCAACACUGACGCUGAGUGAGCGAAAGCCAGGGGAGCAAACGGG
rnacentral:rRNA from 1 species